CCUACGGGUGGCAGCAGUAGGGAAUAUUGCUCAAUGGGGGAAACCCUGAAGCAGCCACGCCGCGUGGAGGAUGAAGGUUUUCGGAUUGUAAACUCCUUUUGUUAGAGAAGAUAAUGACGGUAUCUGACGAAUAAGCACCGGCUAACUCCGUGCCAGCAGCCGCGGUUAUAUGGAGGGUGCAACUGUUACUCGGAAUCAUUGGGCGUAAAGAGCGCGUAGGCGGGGUAGCAAGUCAGAUGUGAAAUCCUAUGGGUUAACCAUAGAACUGCAUUUGAAACUGUUAGUCUAGAGUAUGGGAGAGGUAGGCGGAAUGCUCGGUGUAGGGGUAAAAUCCGUAGAGAUCAAGAGGAAUACUGAUUGCGAAGGCGACCUGCCAGA
rnacentral:rRNA from 1 species